rnacentral:lncRNA from 1 species
GGUGAAAUAAACAGCCAUGUUGCUCACACAAAGCCUGUUUGGUGGUCUCUUCACACGGACGCUCAUGAAAUUUGGUGAUGUGACUCGGAUAGGGGGACCUCCCUUGGGAGAUCAGUACCCUGUCCUCCUGCUCUUUGCUCCGUGAGAAAGAUCCACCUACAACCUCAGGUCCUUAGACCAACCAGCCCAAGAAACAUCUCACCAAUUUCAAAUCCAGACCCCACUGGAAAUCGGACUGUCCAACUCACCUGACAGCCACUCCCACAGCCGCUGGAACUCUGGCCCAAGGCUCUCUGACUCCUUCCCAGAUCUUCUUGGCUUAGCGGCUGAAGACUGACGCUGCCCGAUCGCCUCGGAAGCCCCCUAGACCAUCACGGACGCCGAGCUUCGGGUAACUCUCACAGUGGAAGGCUGGAGUGCAGUGGUACAAUCAUGGCACACUGCAGCCUCAACCUCAUGGGCUCAGAGAGGGGGUUUUGCCAUGUUUCCCAGGCUGGUCUCGAACUCCUGGGCUCAAGUGAUCCGCCCAGCUCAGCCUCCCAAAGUGCUAGGAUUACAAGCAUGAGCCACUGCACCCAGCCAAAAGCCCAAAAUGGUCUCAGGAAUGGGAUCAGCAGGUCUCAGGGUUGUACUCUCCUGGAUCUCUCACCAGCCACCUCAAACCAGCUGCCAUAGCCUGUCCACUUCCACUCCAAUCUUCUCUUCCUUCAUCACCUCCCUUGCACACCCUGAUAACCUCGAAAGAGAACUCUUCCCAAGGCUCUGUUCCAAACACAUCGCCACUCUGCUUAGAACCUUCAAUGACUCCUCAUGGCCUAGGAGGUUUCUCUCCCAUCUGGAUCCAGCUGACGUUCCCAGCACCUUCUCCUGACUCCUGUCUUUUCUUGAACCAGUUCUGCCCAACAAGGAGGAAAGGGCUGACAGAGUGAAAGUCCCAGGGCAUGUGGGAAUGUGACUCUUUUCACUUUAAAUUCUAUGACUGGAAAGUUUUGGGCAGAGUUGGACAUGUGCACUUAGCUUCCAGAAGACAGAAUCCUUUUAAAAGAGUCAGAGAAAACACUGGCUUCCUGCCAUGACAUGAGAUACAGACAGGAGAGUUGGGAAGCUUUUUAAAGAUGGCACUAUGACUACAAUCACAGAAACUCUCCAUGAGGAAGUAAAAGAAAGCACCUGCAACACUCCAGCUAUGCAGACCACUCUGUAAUGGGCUCAGAUCUGGACAGGUGUGUGGAAAGGUGGGUCAACAGGUCAGGCGUCACAGACUUGGAACAUUCAUGGUGGAAAAGAAAAAGCCCCAAAGAAGAGACUUCAGGAUAAAUGAGAAAAUACUCAAGACAGCAAAAGUCUCUUUUAGAAAUGUUGGAGAAAGAACACUUAAUGUCAGGAGUUACUGUUGAUUGAUGGCCUUACUGUGUAGCAGGUGAGAAACCCAUUGUUCAGUUCCCUAAAGUCACCCUAUUCUCCCAAUCAUCCUAUGGAGGGGGAACCAUGAUGGUUAUCCCCAUCUUAUAAAUAAAGCAACAGAGGCUUAGAAGGACGAACUCUUUUUCUCAAGGUUACCCAGAUCAUUUUGCAGAAGUCCCUAGAUUUGAAUCAUGCUCUUGCUUUGAGGUUAAAGACACAGGGGAAGUCGAACUCCUUAUCUCCUAUAUCCUGAAUAGGGAAAACCAAACAUUGUCAAGAGGAGAGGAAGCCUGAGAGUUGGCAUGAAUCAGAGUGCUGGGCAGUCUGGAGUCUUCCCCACUGAGUUGAUGAUGGAACAGUAGAGUGGGGCCUGAGCCCCGUUAGGGCAUGAGCUGCUGAAUGAUUCAUGUGAACACCAUGCACAUGGGAGUGAGGUUUUGAGCAGUGUGCCACAGGAGCCUACCCUCAGGCCCCACCAUAAAAUGUAGGGCCAGUCCUACAUUUUAUCAAUGACUUGCGUGAACACAGAAAAUGUGGAUACAACCAAAAGGUAACAAUCCAAUUAAAAAAUGGACAAAAAACUUGAAUAAACAUUUCUCAAAAGAAGAUAUACAAAUGAUCAAAAAGCAUAUGAAAAAAUGCUCAACAUCGCUAAUUGUAAGAGAAAUGCAAAUCAAAACUAUAAUGAGAUACCACCUUAUAUUGAUUAGGAAGACUGCUAUAAAAAUAGUAAACAAACAAACAAACAAAGUAAGUCUUGGGGAGGAUGCAGAGAAAUUAAAAUUUUUGUGCACUGUUAGUGGGAAUGUAAAAUGGUGCAGCUGUUACGGGAAACGGUAUGACAGUUCCUCAAAAAAUAAAAUGUAGAAACAGC